CAAAGGUGAGCCGGUACAGGAUGGACCCGCGUCUGAUUAGCUAGUUGGUAAGGUAACGGCUUACCAAGGCGACGAUCAGUAGCCGACCUGAGAGGGUGAUCGGCCACAUUGGAACUGAGACACGGUCCAAACUCCUACGGGAGGCAGCAGUGGGGAAUAUUGCACAAUGGGCGAAAGCCUGAUGCAGCAACGCCGCGUGAGUGAUGAAGGCCUUCGGGUCGUAAAACUCUGUCCUCAAGGAAGAUAAUGACGGUACUUGAGGAGGAAGCCCCGGCUAACUACGUGCCAGCAGCCGCGGUAAUACGUAGGGGGCUAGCGUUAUCCGGAUUUACUGGGCGUAAAGGGUGCGUAGGCGGUCUUUCAAGUCAGGAGUGAAAGGCUACGGCUCAACCGUAGUAAGCUCUUGAAACUGGGAGACUUGAGUGCAGGAGAGGAGAGUGGAAUUCCUAGUGUAGCGGUGAAAUGCGUAGAUAUUAGGAGGAACACCAGUUGCGAAGGCGGCUCUCUGGACUGUAACUGACGCUGAGGCACGAAAGCGUGGGGAGCAAACAGGAUUAGAUACCCUGGUAGUCCACGCUGUAAACGAUGAGUACUAGGUGUCGGGGGUUACCCCCUUCG
rnacentral:rRNA from 1 species